rnacentral:rRNA from 1 species
UACGUAGGUGGCAAGCGUUGUCCGGAUUUAUUGGGUUUAAAGGGUGCGUUGGCGGCUUAUUAAGUCAGUGGUGAAAUACUCUAGCUCAACUAGAGGGGUGCCAUUGAUACUGAUGAGCUUGAGUACAGAUGAGGUAGGCGGAAUUGACGGUGUAGCGGUGAAAUGCUUAGAUAUCGUCAAGAACACCUAUAGCGAAGGCAGCUUACUAGGCUGUAACUGACGCUGAGGCACGAAAGUGUGGGGAUCAAACAGG